ACUCCUACGGGAGGCAGCAGUGAGGAAUAUUGGUCAAUGGGCGCAAGCCUGAACCAGCCAUGCCGCGUGCAGGAAGACUGCCCCUAUGGGUUGUAAACUGCUUUUAUACAGGAAGAAACACUCCCUCGUGAGGGAGCUUGACGGUACUGUAAGAAUAAGGAUCGGCUAACUCCGUGCCAGCAGCCGCGGUAAUACGGAGGAUCCAAGCGUUAUCCGGAAUCAUUGGGUUUAAAGGGUCCGUAGGUGGAUUAGUAAGUCAGAGGUGAAAUCCUGCAGCUCAACUGUAGAACUGCCUUUGAUACUGCUAGUCUUGAGUCAUUAUGAAGUGGUUAGAAUGUGUAGUGUAGCGGUGAAAUGCAUAGAUAUUACACAGAAUACCGAUUGCGAAGGCAGAUCACUAAUAAUGUACUGACACUGAUGGACGAAGCGUGGGGAGCGAACAGGAUUAGAUACCCUGGUAGCGACUGA
rnacentral:rRNA from 1 species